rnacentral:rRNA from 1 species
AACGAACGCUGGCGGCAGGCUUAACACAUGCAAGUCGAACGCCCCGCAAGGGGAGUGGCAGACGGGUGAGUAACGCGUGGGAAUCUACCGUACCCUACGGAACAACAGUUGGAAACGACUGCUAAUACCGUAUACGCCCUUAGGGAGAACGAUUUAUCGGGGUAUGAUGAGCCCGCGUUGGAUUAGCUAGUUGGUGGGGUAAAGGCCUACCAAGGCGACGAUCCAUAGCUGGUCUGAGAGGAUGAUCAGCCACAUUGGGACUGAGACACGGCCCAAACUCCUACGGGAGGCAGCAGUGGGGAAUAUUGGACAAUGGGCGCAAGCCUGAUCCAGCCAUGCCGCGUGAGUGAUGAAGGUCUUAGGAUUGUAAAGCUCUUUCACCGAUGAAGAUAAUGACGGUAGUCGGAGAAGAAGCCCCGGCUAACUACGUGCCAGCAGCCGCCGUAA